UUUUGAUUCUAUUAUUAUUUUGGUUGAUAUUAUGAAUAUAUAAUAGAAAUAUCUUUAUAGGGUUAUGUCUUAGUAUUUUAUAGAAUUGAUUUUAUAAAUUAUAGUUUAUUAGUAAUGUAAAUGGAUUAUUGAAUUUUUAUAAAAUAUAAUUAGUACUUUUGUUUUAGGGUACCUUUUGUAUCAGGGUUGAUCAAUAUAAUGUAAUUAUUUACAUUUCUCGAUUUAGGUUGAUUUAUAACUUAGUUGAUUUUAUUGUUACAAAAAUAUUUGUAAUUAAGUUAUAGAAAUGAUAUGUUAUUCGUUUCCUAAGUUAUCUAGUUCUUUAAGAUAAAAUUUAAUUUUAUGUAUUUUUUGAUUAUUUACAAAUUUUUGUUUAAGAUUAAGAAAUAAGUUAUUCUUUAGGGGAUAAGCUCUGGAGUCAUUAAUUCUAAAAUAUUAGUAUUCAAGGAUUGAAUAGUAAGCUUUAAACCAGCUAUCUUAGAUUACGUUUUAGUUCAUUAUCAAUUAUUUGAUUUUAUAGUUUUUUUAGAUGUUAAAUUAAAGUAUUUUAAUAAAUUUUAAAUUAUUAGUAAUAAUGAUUGAAUUAGUAUAUAUAAUUGUUUAUUUUUUUGUUUUUGGAAAUUCAUAUUAAGGAACUAGGCAAAUUUUCUCCCCGCCUGUUUAACAAAAACAUGUCUUUUUGAUAAAAAUUUAAAGUCUGACCUGCUCAAUGAUAAAUUUAAAUAGCCGCGGUAUUUUGACCGUGCAAAGGUAGCAUAAUAAUUAGUCUUUUAAUUGUAGGCUUGAAUGAAGGGUUUGACGAGGGAGGGACUGUCUCAUUAUGAUUAAUAAAAUUUAACUUUUAAGUUAAAAGGCUUAAAUUAGUCUUUAGGACGAGAAGACCCUAUAGAUCUUUAUAAUUUGAUUAUAAUCAAUUUUUAGUUAAUUUAUUUUGUUGGGUAAUUAAUUUAUUUUGUUGGGGUGACAUAAAGAAUAGAUAAACUCUUUAUAUUAAAAUCAUUAAUUUAUGAUAGAUUGAUCCAUAAUUUGUGAUUAUAAGAAUAAGUUACCUUAGGGAUAACAGCGUAAUUGUUUUUUAGAGUUCAUAUCAACGAAGCAGAUUGCGACCUCGAUGUUGGAUUAAGAAAAGUGUUAGGUGCAUCAGUCUAAUAACUAGGUCUGUUCGACCUUUAAAUUCUUACAUGAUCUGAGUUCAGACCGGCGUGAGCCAGGUUGGUUUCUAUCCUAAGAAUAUAAAAUUAUAUUAGUACGAAAGGACCAUAUAGUUGAAAUAUUUUUUGUUAUUUGAUUUCUAUUAAAUU
rnacentral:rRNA from 1 species